GUUGUAGAAGUCAAGUACUGAAUCAGCAUUCAAAACCAGACCCGACUUCAGCAAAUUUUGGUGAUAGAAUUUCCGGGUGUAAGGAAUCAAGAAGCGAGUGCAAGGGCGAUCCAAGAAUAAGGCACGGUAGUGACUUAAGAAAUUUAAUUUAGAGACUAUAUAGGGGCAUUUUGAUGCUUUUGGGACUAGUGUUAUUUUACUUGUAAUGGAUAUUGGACAUUAAAUUUUGGAAUUUAAUUUUGGUGAUUUUAUAA